UAGAAUUGCUUGCACCUGAUGCAGAAAUAUUAGAAGAUGAUAAAGAAGAACAGAUAAUUGAGUGGGAGACUCAAGAGGAACAAGAAACUAAGAUUGAUGAUGAUUUUGAGGCUGAAGUUAUGGAAGAAGAAACUAUUGGUGGAGAAGGUGAUGAGGAUAUGCAAGAAGGCAUUGAUGUUCGGUCUCCUGAUGAUGAAGACAUGACAGAAGAGCAGCCUGAUGAUACUGAAGAUAUGGGUGAUCAACCAACAUCUUCUGAUUUAGGUAUUUAAGC